CGCCCUUUAGCUCCGCUCGGCUUUUCUCCGUCAGGCAUCGUCUACUUUCGUCACUCUCCGUCACUCUCCGGCUGCUCCCUACCCCGCACUCCAUGGAGAAAGCCUCAGGGACUUUUCCUGCCCUUAGUCCUUUUCCGUCACUCUCCGAUCCUGCUGUCUCUUCAGUCCCUGGUUAUUUCUGGUCUGCCCGUGACUCUGUCCUCCUCCCUUCACUCCCGGGAGAGUGGCCUGGUCUCUCCUGAGAGGCCUCUCCCCUCUACCCGGCCUGACUGAUGGUGAUAGUGCCUCGCUCUGUCAUCUAUCACCCAGGCUGGAGUGCAGUGGUGCGAUCUCGGCUCACUGCAACCUCUGCCUCCCAGGUUCAAGCGAUUCUCGCACCUCAGCCUCCCGGUAGCUGGCAUUGUAGCACGACAAGCCACAGAAAUAUUCCUCAGACACCGGGUUAAAGAAAGAAGGGCUUUCUUCGGCCAGGAGGGUCAGCACCCUUGCGUCUUAAGAGCCGAGCUCCCCGAAAAAGGAAUUCCUGGGCCUUUUAAGGGUUUACGACUCUAAGAGGUUCACAUGAAAGGGUCGUGAUAGAUGGAGCAAGCGUGGGGAAUGUGACUGAGGGCUACAUGCAUCAGAUAACAGUACAGAAAGUUUUUCAGUGCUUCCUCA